rnacentral:rRNA from 1 species
UACGUAGGUGGCAAGCGUUGUCCGGCAUUAUUGGGCGUAAAGCGCGCGCAGGUGGUUUAAUAAGUCUGAUGUGAAAGCCCACGGCUCAACCGUGGAGGGUCAUUGGAACCUGUUAAACUUGAGUGCAGGAGAGAAAAGUGGAAUUCCUAGUGUAGCGGUGAAAUGCGUAGAGAUUAGGAGGAACACCAGUGGCGAAGGCGGCUUUCUGGACUGUAACUGACGCUGAGGCACGAAAGCAUGGGUAGCAAACAGG